UACCACCCUUGAAUAUUUGAAGUUCUAACUCAGGAGAGAUUCGAGGACAGUGUAUGGUGGGUAGUUUGACUGGGGCGGUCUCCUCCUAAAGAGUAACGGAGGAGUACGAAGGUGCACUCGGUACGGUCGGAAAUCGUGCCAAGAGUAUAAAGGCAAAAGUGCGCUUGACUGCGAGAGUGACGGCUCGAGCAGGUACGAAAGUAGGUCUUAGUGAUCCGGUGGUCCCGAAUGGAAGGGUCAUCGCUCAACGGAUAAAAGGUACUCCGGGGAUAACAGGCUAAUUCCUCCCAAGAGUUCAUAUCGACGGAGGAGUUUGGCACCUCGAUGUCGGCUCAUCACAUCCUGGGGCUGAAGUAGGUCCCAAGG
rnacentral:rRNA from 1 species